UACAGAGAUCUCAAGCGUUGUUCGGAUUCAUUGGGCGUAAAGGGUGCGUAGGCGGCGUGGUAAGUCGGGUGUGAAAUCUCGGAGCUUAACUCCGAAACUGCAUUCGAUACUGCCGUGCUUGAGGACUGGAGAGGAGACUGGAAUUUACGGUGUAGCGGUGAAAUGCGUAGAUAUCGUAAGGAAGACCAGUGGCGAAGGCGGGUCUCUGGACAGUUCCUGACGCUGAGGCACGAAGGCCAGGGGAGCAAACGGG
rnacentral:rRNA from 1 species